rnacentral:rRNA from 1 species
GCUUAACACAUGCAAGUCGAACGGACUCUUCGGAGUUAGUGGCGGACGGGUGAGUAACGCGAGAGAAUCUGCCUACAGAUUGGGGACAACGUCGGGAAACUGACGCUAAUACCGAAUGUGCCGAGAGGUGAAAGAUUUAUCGUCUGUAGAUGAGCUCGCGUCUGAUUAGCUAGUUGGGGCGGUAACGGCGCACCAAGGCGACGAUCAGUAACUGGUCUGAGAGGAUGACCAGUCACACUGGGACUGAGACACGGCCCAGACUCCUACGGGAGGCAGCAGUGGGGAAUUUUCCGCAAUGGGCGAAAGCCUGACGGAGCAAUACCGCGUGCGGGAGGACGCUUUUUGGAGUGUAAACCGCUUUUCUCAAGGAAGAUGAUGACGGUACUUGAGGAAUCAGCAUCGGCUAACUUCGUGCCAGCAGCCGCGGUAAUACGAGGGAUGCAAGCGUUAUCCGGAAUUAUUGGGCGUAAAGCGUUCGUAGGCGGCAAAUUAAGUCUGUUGUUAAAACGUGGAGCUUAACUCCAUAUCGGCAAUGGAAACUGGUUAGCUAGAGUAUGGUAGGGGUAACAGGAAUUCCCAGUGUAGCGGUGAAAUGCGUAGAUAUUGGGAAGAACACCAGCGGCGAAAGCGUGUUACUGGGCCAUUACUGACACUGAGGGACGAAAGCUAGGGGAGCGAAAGGGAUUAGAUACCCCUGUAGUCCUAGCCGUAAACGAUGAGAACUAGGUGUUGCGCGUAUCGACCCGCGCGGUGCCGUAGCUAACGCGUUAAGUUCUCCGCCUGGGGAGUACGCACGCAAGUGUGAAACUCAAAGGAAUUGACGGGGGCCCGCACAAGCGGUGGAGUAUGUGGUUUAAUUCGAUGCAACGCGAAGAACCUUACCAGGGUUUGACAUCCUCGGAACUUUCUGGAAACAGAUUGGUGCCUUCGGGAACCGAGAGACAGGUGGUGCAUGGCUGUCGUCAGCUCGUGUCGUGAGAUGUUGGGUUAAGUCCCGCAACGAGCGCAACCCACGUUUUUAGUUGCCAGCAUUAAGUUGGGCACUCUAGAGAAACUGCCGGUGACAAACCGGAGGAGGGUGUGGAUGACGUCAAGUCAGCAUGCCCCUUACAUCCUGGGCUACACACGUACUACAAUGCUACGGACAAAGGGCAGCGAGCCAGCAAUGGUCUGCAAAUCCCAUAAACCGUGGCUCAGUUCAGAUCGCAGGCUGCAACUCGCCUGCAUGAAGGCGGAAUCGCUAGUAAUCGCAGGUCAGCAUACUGCGGUGAAUACGUUCCCGGGCCUUGUACACACCGCCCGUCACACCAUGGGAGUUGGUCACGCCCGAAGUGGUUACCCUAACCGUAAGGAGGGGGACCCCUAAGGCAGGGCUGAUGACUGGGGUG